CAGUAGCCGCGGUAAUACGUAGGGUGCAAGCGUUAAUCGGAAUUACUGGGCGUAAAGCGUGCGUAGGCGGUUCGUUAAGUCUGUUGUGAAAGCCCCGGGCUCAACCUGGGAAUGGCAAUGGAUACUGGCGAGCUAGAGUGUGUCAGAGGAUGGUGGAAUUCCCGGUGUAGCGGUGAAAUGCGUAGAGAUCGGGAGGAACAUCAGUGGCGAAGGCGGCCAUCUGGGACAACACUGACGCUGAGGCACGAAAGCGUGGGGAGCAAACAGGAUUAGAUACCCGUGUAGUCCCUGUCUCUUAUAC
rnacentral:rRNA from 1 species